AGCCGCGUCCACAUGGCUUCAGGUGUUCACAUGGCAGUAAACGGGCCCCUGCUCUCCUGGGCGCCCCAGCGCGGCGCCCUCCCGCCCACAUCCCGGCCCAGCCCCGCUGGCCUCGCCUCCAGCCCGUAGCCAAGAGGCGAGCGCGGCCGGUGCCCCCGGGGCUGCCAGGGGCCCCGAAGCAGGCGGCGCUGACUCCCGGACGCCGCCCGCUCACACCCGCCGCCUUUGCACCCAAGGCCUCGCGCGACCAGCAGGUCACUGAUUCUACUACCAUCUGUCAGCGUGGAUUGAUUGAGGAGACUGGCCCUGCUCGGCAGAUCAGUGACUUGUGCGAAGUGAGCCAGGGUGUCGGUGCCUUCAGAGCAGGCGGAUGUCCUUCCUCACUUGCCAGCUCUCGUGAGCAGACACACAGCCCUCACCUUUAUCCUUCACCAAGCUCCAGCUCUCCUUCCUCUUGGGAGGCGCCGCCUGCUAACUCAGUCACACCAAGAGGGAGGCCUGGAAUUCCUGCUCACAAGCUCGGGGCUUCAUCUGCAGUCUGCCAGGAGGCAACUUACAAAAGCCUCUGGCUAACAGAGCGGGAAACUCCCCACAGCCUCCUGCUGUGCCUGUCCCCAAGCCACGCACUGUCCCCUUGCAAAGCACAAGGAUACUGAGAGUGCACAAACAGCAGGGGUGGAGAGCCUCUGUGGGCACGCCCUCAUUCUGUGCCCUCAUUCCACAGGAGCCCCUGCUUUGUGCAAGUCUCUGAGCCCGCAUGGAGGGAGCAUGGGGGCUCAGAACAGUUCUUUCUGGGGCAAGGUCAGGGGAGGCUCUAAAGUUAUGGUGGUGGGGAGGGCCUUAAAACAGAGGACCAGAGAAUACCAAGACUUAGGGGUGUGGGGGAGAGCCACCUGCUGUGCCCAGGAGGACUGUGCCCAGUGCAGGGGAAAAAGAUGAAGCUGCGGAGUUGGGCAAGGGUGGGAUCCUGCAGGGCCUUAGAGCAUUGACAUGUUUGGCAUGGAUUUGUUUCACAGGGUCCCACAGAAACUUCUGCUCUCCAGGUUUGCCCCUCCACUCUGCCCUCCAGGAUAGAAGUGUGGCAUCCUAAUCUGGGAUGCAUCCAUCUCUCCCCCUGGACUGUGAGCAUAUGCAGGGCAGAGACACCUCUGCUUCUCUUGGGUCUCCGGCAUCCUGUGCAGGUAUCACCCCUAUUUUACAGAUGGGGCCACUGAGGUGCAAAGAGUUUAACUUAUCCCAAGUCACACAGUUUGGAAGAGGCUGAGCUGGUAUUUGAACCCAGGUUUUCAGAGGCUGCACUCUUAACCACCAAGCUUCCCAGCACUCAGCAAACACUGGAAAGACAGAGAUGGACCUAGACAGUCAGUAGGACCAAAAGUCUGCAGGCCGAUAGGGAAAGAAUGUAAGAGGACGGCAUGGGCAGCGCCAGCCCCUCCAGCAGUCAUAUAUUAAGCCCUGGACACUGGGCAGCUCGGGCAGGUCGGGGGGCCUCAGACUCUCGGACCCCAUGCCUGGAAGACCACGGUCUGCCCAACAAGCAGCAGCUGCUGUGAAUCGACUUACACAUCUUCCCCACAGGUGAGCAGAGAGCUAACACCUGAGGAUAGGCCAAGAAACGGGAAGCCCGUGCAACCUGAGCGCACAGAUCACCCCCACCUGCCCGGCACUCACUGUCCCCAGUGGCUGGACUCUCAUCGGGCCAGUCACUGAGCUGGCGCCAGCCUGGUCUCACCAGUGUGUGUCUUUAAAUCAUCCAAUUUCUUCAGCUGUAAAUUGGGCUGGGAGGGGCCAGGUGAGCUGCCUGCCUCAGGGGAGUCGGCGCCCUUACCUGAGUGAUCCCAUUCACUCCUCACAACAAACCCAUGAGGCAGGGAUUGUCAUCUUCAUUGUACAGAGCAGGAAAUGGGUGCACACAGAGGUUAAGAGACUUGCCCAGGUCACACAGCUAGGAAGAGGCUGUGAUUUGAACUCAGUCUUCUGGCUCCAAAGCCCCCACAGAGUCACUCAGGGCACUACAAAGAGUUAACCUGAAUAUGAAAUGAUCUAAGAGUCGCAGUGACAAAGGCAUGCUCUAAGCGCUUUUCCUGCAGUAACUUGCUUAAUCCUUACAACAACCCUAUAAAGUGGGUACUGUUCUCGCCUCAUUUUGCAGAUGAGGAAACUGAGGCACAGAGCAGCUCGGAGGGGGCAGAGCUGAAUCUGACAGGCUACAGGGCCCCUGCGUUGCUUUGUUAUAAGAUGACAAUAAGGAAGUUCCUUUCCUUUGGGAUUAUUUCUGCCUGAAAGCUCAAGACUUUUAGCCACAUCAUUGUCUGGGCUCCACGGGAAGGCAGUGCCACAUGCUGAGGCAUGCUGGGAAAAGACUUUGUUCCAUCCUGUUUUGUUGACAUGCUCUUCAUUUUUAAGCCUGAAACCGAAGCUUCCUGCUAAGAAUUCAAACCAUGGAGAAAAACGCAGCCAUGAUAACGGCCACUACUUCCUGAGCCUCCAGUGUUCCCUGUGCUUGGGGAUCCAUAUAUGUCACUUAACCUUAACCUUCACAACACCAGGGCAGCCUCCAUUUUCACAAGUGAAGAAAUGGAGGCCCAGAGUCACUUAGAAGAUGCUCGAAGGUGCACAGCUGCUAAGUGGUGGUGCUGGGAUUUGUCCUCAGGUCCUCAAGAGUCCUGACUCUUAUGUGCUGGCUCCCCACGGAGGCGUGGAGUCUUGUUUGCUGGGCAUUUGACAGAAAUGUUUCUGCUCAUCUUCUGCCACAGGUUGGUCCUUCAGCGUCAAGAUUCCUGGGCCACUUAUUAAUAGAAGGCACCAGGACACAGGUGCAGGGAUGCAGAGCUGGAUGCUGCCUUCUCAAUAGGAGAAGCCAAGAAACGCAGAUGCCGAUGCUUAAUCAACUCCGUCUCUCCCUCUAGUGACUCGGGGAUAGCUGCCCUGAUGCCAAGGCGAUUGUCUUCUGGAAGCAGCCACGCCGUGUGAGGUUCCUCAUCACUGCCCUGCAUCUCCCUGCGAGCUCUCGGGGAUAAUUGCAAAAUCACGUUUGAUUCCAGGGGAGCAGAAAGCAGCAGGAGCCGUGAAUUCUCCAACUCUUAACUGGUCCUCGACUGGAGCCACUUUUCCCUGCCCACCCAUCCCUGUGGCGGAUUCAUUACAGUUAUCCAAAGCCGGUUUUAACUUUGCUCCCCCUGGCUCAGAAGUCUGUCAGUGGGUCCUGAGCGGCUUCACCAUUCAAGUUUAUUCCUAUCAGCCUGGAAUACAAUGCUCUAUCUGGCUCCGCUUGCUUCUCCAAACCUUCUCUCCCAGGUCUCAUUCUGCCUCUCUGUCUAACUAGACAAGUUGGCUUCCUGUCCUGUGCCUGUCUGCUCCCUGCAGCAGGAAUGCCGUUCCCUCUUCCCUACAGAUUGAAAUUAUAUCCUCUUUCAAGUCUUACUCAAAUGCCACCUCCUCCACAAACUCUUAACACUUAUUCAUUCAUUCAACAAACAUUGACUGAGCCCUUAUGACAAGCAUUGAUCCCAAGGGUCCCUGUGGUCAUGAAGUUUAUGGUGCCAUGGAGCUGUUAGAAAAAGAAUCAUCACAUAAAUAAUCAUCUGAUAACAGCCAUGAUACAAAUUAGUAAGAAAGUGUGGCAGGAGCACAGCAGAUGUACAAUAGGGACCCUGAGCCUUGGGGAUCUAGGACAUUUGAGCUGAGGCCUGAAAGACAAGUAGGAAGUAACCACAUGGUGAAGUUGGAGGAGAGCUCCAGGCAGAGGGCACGGCAUGGGCAAAGGCCCUGCGGUAGGAGGGAACAAGUAGAUUUCCAGGAAGGGCACAGGGGCCUGCAGGGUAAUGUAAGUGAAAUGAGAAAGCUGGAGAUGCAGCUGGAGCAGGACAGUACAGGCCACAGAGGCUUUGCGACUUUAUCCCUGGGCAAAAAGAGGAGAUGAUGAAGGAUUCUGAGCACAGGACACAAGCCAGUAUGUAUUUAGACGCGAUCCUGCCCUGUGGCUGAGCCUCUUCUGAGAAGUGCAGGCCCUGUGUCACGUCACCCUGAACCUCAGUCAUCAGGGUUUUGGAUGUGAGUUUCCAUAUCCCUCUUCCUAGGCCAAGCUCUCAAAGGCAAGGCUGACCUCUGGUCUUCAGCUUCAUCCUCAUCAGCCAGGCCAGUGCCCAGCACAAGGAGCUGCUCCAAAAACAUACGUGGGUUGAACCAGUGACCAGGACAAGACGCUUAUCAGCAUUUCCCUGCGAAGGAGCAGGGCUGCCUGUAAAGCCUUCCACAUUCUCUAGAAAUUACAAAGUUCAAGGGUUUUAGUGAGGCCACGACUCAGGGAGCCCUUGAGAGCCAAGCUGGCAUCCCACUGCUGUGCACACCCAGCCUGGGCACACAGUAUGACCCUGCCCAGGCAUCUGCCUGCGGCCGUCUGGUGAAUGACCAGAAACAGAACCGAAAGCUCUGUAAAGUGCUCUCAAGGUUACAAAGCAUGUUUCACAGGAGCAGUUUCAUCUCACACGGGCAGCCCUCUGAGCUGGGUAGUUACUGCUUUACAGAUGAGGAAACUGAGGCCCGGGAGAGGGCGGGACCUCAGCAAAUCAAGAAAAAACUGAGACUAGGACCUAACGGAAGUCCAGGCUAUGAAUGGCCCCCGUAGGGUUAAAAGAGCUUUCUAGAAAUUUCUUUGAAAACUAUUGUAAAGUGACAUAUUUCCUCAGGAUGUCUGUCACGCCAGCAGUGGGAGCCAACACACCAACUCUCAGAGGCUGUUCCCCCUGCGCGGCAGAUCCAGACGCUCAGCUCCCAGGCCUGGAGGCUGGCGGCUUAGCCCAGGGCACAGGAGGAGGCUGCCUGGGUUUGGCGCUGACUUACAGCAGGUGCUGAGGGAAUGCUGAGGAGAGGCAAGGCUGAUUCAAGAGGCCGACAACAGAGAACAUUCCUAGAGCUCUCCCGCCAGCUAGGCAUGGUGCUAAGUGCAUUACCUGCGUCCACUCGUAACAUCCUCACAACACUGUGAAUACGAUGACCAUCCCCAUGUACAGGCGUGGACGCUAAGGCUCAGAGCAAUAAAUAAUUAGCCUGAGAUCACACGGCAGGUGAGUGCAGAGGCCGGAUCUGAACCCACACAUUGCCCUUAAGCAACCCCAUGUCCUGAGCAAAGGUGAGCAGAAACAUCUUGGGAAGAGGGAACCACGACUGUAUCUUCCUCAGCAGACAUGAUGGUGCAGGGUACCCCUUCCCCUGCCCACCUGACGACCAUUAUUCCCAUUAUCAGUAUAUCCCUCUGUGGGCAAAUGAUGACAGACAUGCAUGGUAACCACUUCUUCACAAGUUUUGUGUCUCCCCAGCCUCCUCCCCUAGGGCUCUCUAGGCUUCCUUUACCCGUCCUGCCUCAGAUGGACUCCCAGCAUCAUCAUCUGCCUCUGUGCCUUCUUGGUAGUAGGUGGGUGUGAAAAAGAAAGGAAGGGCCAGGUGCAGUGGCUCAUACCUGUAGUCCCAGCACUUUGGGAGGCUGAGGCGGGCGGAUCACCUGAGGUCAGGAGUUCGAAACCAGCCUGGCCAACAUGGUGAAACCCUAUCUCUGGUGGCAGGUGCCUGUAAUCCCAGCUACUUGGAAGGCUGAGGCUGGAGAAUCACUUGAACCUGGGAGGCAGAGGUUGCAGUGAGCAGAGAUUGCGCCACUGCACUCCAGUCUGGGCAACAGAGCGACUCCCUCUCAAUAAAUAAAAUAAAAUAAGGAAGGACAGAGGGCAAUGUGACCUUCGGCAAGCUCCCUAAGCUCCUGAAGCCUCAGCCUUUUCACCCGUAGAACAGGGACAUUAACAUCACCCCCGAGUGAGGGCUGCAGGCACACAGUGACUGCGCUUCUCAGUGCCACAAGUGCUGUUGCCAUCAUUCCAGCCUCAGGUGCUCCGUGAGGUGGGACGAUUCACCCCAUGAGCAAACAGGCUCAGGGAGGUGUGGUGCCUACAGUCACCCAGCAGACACAGCGGAGCAAGGAGGAAGCCACACCUG
rnacentral:lncRNA from 1 species